GAUGAACGCUAGCGGCAGGCUUAACACAUGCAAGUCGAGGGGUAGAGGAAGCUUGCUUCCUUGAGACCGGCGCACGGGUGCGUAACGCGUAUACAAUCUACCUUUUACAGAGGGAUAGCCCCAGAGAAAUUUGGAUUAAUACCUCAUAGUAUUUUCGGAUCGCAUGAUUUGAUUAUUAAAGUUCCAACGGUAAAGAUGAGUAUGCGUCCCAUUAGCUAGAUGGUAAGGUAACGGCUUACCAUGGCAAUGAUGGGUAGGGGUCCUGAGAGGGAGAUCCCCCACACUGGUACUGAGACACGGACCAGACUCCUACGGGAGGCAGCAGUGAGGAAUAUUGGACAAUGGGCGCAAGCCUGAUCCAGCCAUGCCGCGUGCAGGAAUAAGGUCCCUAUGGAUUGUAAACUGCUUUAUACAGGAAGAAACACACCCUCGUGAGGGUACUUGACGGUACUGAUGAAUAAGGAUCGGCUAACUCCGUGCC
rnacentral:rRNA from 1 species